CAGUAAAAAGCCACAUCUGAAACCUGUC
rnacentral:piRNA from 1 species